UUUUUAUUAUCUGUGGAGAGGCAAAAACUGAACAAAGACCUGCUUUCAGUGGCAGAAACAUAUCCUGGCGUGGAUUUACAUUUUGAGCACAAACUUAUGGCUGCUGAUUUAGAGAGAGGCCAUCUGUCAUUUAGACGUAAUGGAAACGAUGACCAAAGACUUGAAGUUGAUGCUGACCUUGUAAUUGGAAGUGAUGGGGCAUAUUCUACUAUCAGAAGAGAGCUUUUGAGAAGACCACGGUAGAAGUUAACAUGUCUCUGUUUUAUCAAUAUUAUUAUUUUCCUAUUAUU